GACGAACGCUGGCGGCGUGCUUAACACAUGCAAGUCGAGCGGUAAGGCCCUUUCGGGGGUACACGAGCGGCGAACGGGUGAGUAACACGUGGGUGACCUGCCCUCAGCUCUGGGAUAAGCCUGGGAAACCGGGUCUAAUACUGGAUAUGACUCCAUGACGCAUGUUGUGGGGUGAAAGCCUUGUGCGGCUGAGGAUGGGCCCGCGGCCUAUCAGCUUGUGGUGGGGUGANGGCCUACCAAGGCGACGACGGGUAGCCGGCCUGAGA
rnacentral:rRNA from 1 species